rnacentral:rRNA from 1 species
AUUGAACGCUGGCGGCAUGCCUUACACAUGCAAGUCGAACGGUAACAGGUCUUCGGAUGCUGACGAGUGGCGAACGGGUGAGUAAUACAUCGGAACGUGCCCGAUCCUGGGGGAUAACGAGGCGAAAGCUUUGCUAAUACCGCAUACGAUCUACGGAUGAAAGCGGGGGAUCUUCGGACCUCGCGCGGACGGAGCGGCCGAUGGCAGAUUAGGUAGUUGGUGGGAUAAAAGCUUACCAAGCCGACGAUCUGUAGCUGGUCUGAGAGGAUGAUCAGCCACACUGGGACUGAGACACGGCCCAGACUCCUACGGGAGGCAGCAGUGGGGAAUUUUGGACAAUAGGCGAAAGCCUGAUCCAGCCAUGCCGCGUGCAGGAUGAAGGCCUUCGGGUUGUAAACUGCUUUUGUACGGAACGAAAAGCCUCUUUCUAAUAAAGAGGGGUCAUGACGGUACCGUAAGAAUAAGCACCGGCUAACUACGUG